GUUGAACGCUGGCGGCAGGCCUAACACAUGCAAGUCGAACGGUAGCACAGAGAGCUUGCUCUCGGGUGACGAGUGGCGGACGGGUGAGUAAUGUCUGGGAAACUGCCCGAUGGAGGGGGAUAACUACUGGAAACGGUAGCUAAUACCGCAUAACGUCGCAAGACCAAAGUGGGGGACCUUCGGGCCUCACACCAUCGGAUGUGCCCAGAUGGGAUUAGCUAGUAGGUGGGGUAAUGGCUCACCUAGGCGACGAUCCCUAGCUGGUCUGAGAGGAUGACCAGCCAAACUGGAACUGAGACACGGUCCAGACUCCGACGUGAGGCAGUAGUGGGGAAUAUUGCACAAUGGGCGCAAGCCUGAUGCAGCCAUGCCGCGUGUAUGAAGAAGGCCUACGGGUUGUAAAGUACUUUCAGCGGGGAGGAAGGCGGUGAAGUUAAUAGCUUCACCGAUUGACGUUACCCGCAGAAGAAGCACCGGCUAACUCCGUGCCAGCCGCCGCGGUAA
rnacentral:rRNA from 1 species